rnacentral:tRNA from 1 species
CGUGGUGUGGCUCAGUGGGUAGAGUGUUCGCCUAACAUGCAGGAAGUCCUGAGUUUGAGCCCCAGCACCACCU